CCUACGGGCGGCAGCAGUGGGGACUAUUGCGCAAUGGGCGAAAGCCUGACGCAGCGACGCCGCGUGAGGGAUGAAGGUCUUCGGAUCGUAAACCUCUGUCAGCAGGGACGAACGGUCACUGUGCUAAUCAGCAGUGACUUGACGGUACCUGCAUAGGAAGCACCGGCUAACUCCGUGCCAGCAGCCGCGGUAAGACGGAGGGUGAGAGCGUUAAUCGGAAUGACUGGGCGUAAAGCGAUCGUAGGCGGUAUGUCAAGUCAAGGGUGAAAUCCCCGCGCUCAACGUGGGAACUGCCUUUGAAACUGGCGAACUGGAGUGUGGGAGAGGAUAGUGGAAUGCCAGGUGUAGGAGUGAAAUCCGUAGAUAUCUGGAGGAACAUCAGUGGCGAAGGCGACUAUCUGGCACAUAACUGACGCUGAGGAGCGAAAGCGUGGGUAGCAAACAGGAUUAGAUACCCUGGUAGUC
rnacentral:rRNA from 1 species